UACGGGGGGGGCAAGCGUUGUUCGGAAUUACUGGGCGUAAAGCGUGCGCAGGCGGUCCGCUAAGACCGAUGUGAAAUCCCCGGGCUUAACCUGGGAAUGGCAUUUGGGACUGCAAGGCUGGAGUGCGGCAGAGGAGACUGGAAUUCCUGGUGUAGCAGUGAAAUGCGUAGAUAUCAGGAGGAACACCGAUGGCGAAGGCAGGUCUCUGGGCUGACACUGACGCUCAUGCACGAAAGCGUGGGGAGCAAACAGG
rnacentral:rRNA from 1 species